rnacentral:tRNA from 1 species
GUUUUAAUAGUUUAAAAAAUGUUAAAUUGCAAAUUUAAGGAUACCUUGUGUUUAAAACU